rnacentral:lncRNA from 1 species
UUAAACAGCGCCUCUACUCUGGUUACUCCCCGCCACGGCUUCUUGCCUCAAUGGUUUCACCUUUAGGAUGGCAUAGUCCUUAGGGAUUUUUCUCCAUUUCCUCUUUGUUAAUAAACUUCUUAACAUAUUAUUCUUCGAAUAAUUCUACUAUAAAGUAACUAAUAUGAAUUUAUUUUAUCAUAUCAUGAUUGUUGGGAAUUAUGAAUUUAGCUAUUCAUAAUCAUAAAUAGAUAUACCUGUUCGGGUAGCUUUG